rnacentral:snRNA from 1 species
AUACUUACCUGUCCGGGACGCCUGCCUGAUCACGAAGGGGCAGCGUCGGGCGAGGUCGUCGCGCCUUGCACUUCGCGCGUACGUAAUCGCUUCGUUCGUCGCCUAACGGGGCGAACGACGGAACAAUUUAUUCCAGGGUGAGACCGGCGUGCGCGCCACUCGCC